CACCGCCAUCAACGGGGGAAAAGGUUAAAGAGCAGGAAACUCGCCCGUCGUUGCUCCGCAUCCGAGCAAGUUCACGUUUCGUUUGUGCUUCGCGCGUUUUAGGAGUGCUCUAAAACUGAACCGGCGGCCUGUCGGCUGCGCCAAGGCAAGGGAAGCUCUGUGGUGCAAAUGAAAUAAAAAAGCUGUUGAGAAAUUGCCCCAGUAAUGCUCAGUGAUGAAGAGAGUGUGAGACCACCAAAGAGGAAAACAAUUCUCCUUUUUAAUUUUCUUUCUUUUUUCAAUCAACAAUACUACCUGUUGAACUGUCAACUGACUAAUGACCUUGGGGAAAAUCAGUGUUAACGUAAUGAAGUUUUGCUUAUUCCUCUCCAGUUGUCUUCUAGAAUAUAUCCUCCCUUGCUAAUAGAAGAAAAAAAUUAAACAACAAAACCCGAAGCUGUUAAUUAUGCCUCAUUAGGAGGAAAAUAAUGCAGAGGAAAAAUUCCUUCCCAAUUACCACUGGAUGAAAAAUCUACGAAAGUGCAUAUUAAUGACAUCCCUGGUUAGAACUGCCCAGCUUCAGAAGGGGGAUGGAAAAAUGAACCCUCUCUGCCCUUCCCUCCUCGCUGGCUCCUGUUCCUGCCUCCUUUGCUGUCCUUCUUCCAGAUGAGAAAGUGGACACGCUCCGUCCCACCAAACCUUAUAAUGUUUGGAUCUACUCCUGCGUGCUGAGAGACAAAUGCUGGAUACUACAUAGACUAAGGAUAUUGAACCACGAUGACUUCCAGCAAUUUACAGCAGGGUGAGCCGGCCCGUGUUUUGAUGACCGGUUAUGCUAUAAACCAUGCUGCGAGGCAUCCUCUGCCAGAAGAGUUUUCUGCUUCCGAGAUCAGAUGCUCUUCAGAAAGCAGCUGCGUUGAAAAGACUUCUGGCCCAGGCCAUGAUCAUUUCUAACCUCUUGUCAAGGCAAUAGCAUCAUUGAACUAACUGUAUAAAAUGUUGAGGACUAUGUCGGAGAAGGGAAGUUUUUACAAAGAGGACAACAGCACAGCAUGUCAUGGUUCACUUGGUUUAAGAGAGGCUUCAAUAGGAGUGACGACAAACUUCCUAACAACCACAGAUAUGGAAUGUAUUAUCCAAGAAGACUGUGGAAUCCUGAUCCGAAGGAAUUUUUAAGAACAAAUUGUUAGUCAAGCAUCUAUAAGGGGUGGUCCCAGCAUGCUGGUCCUGCCACAGAAUUGACCAAAGGUCAAAAAAGCCCUCAUGAUUCCACUGGCUGUUAUUGGCUUUAACACACUCAGCUAUUAUUAAAACACUACAUAAUAUGAUAGAAAGCUGGAAGAUAUAUCUAUGACUGCCUUCUUACAUAGCUGAACAAAAGAAACAAAUACAAUGGCUUCAUGUGAAAAUCAUAUUACAUACGAAAUACAUUAACUGUAGUCACCACAAACAGUAUAUAUUAAAUGACUAUGUCUCCUGUCUUAA